UUAAAAAGCUCGUAGUUGGAUUUCUGGGAGGGUGCCAAUGUCCGCCAACGUGCGUGUGCAGCGGCGCCCUUCCAUCCUUCUGUUAACGCCUCUUGGCAUUCAUUUGCUGGUGGCGGGCUCAGAUAUUUUACCUUGAGAAAAUUAGAGUGUUUCAGGCAGGCUAGGCCGGAAUACAUUAGCAUGGAAUAAUGGAAUAGGACUAUGGUCUCUUUGUUGGUUUGAGGGACUGCAGUAAUGAUUAAUAGGGAUAGUUGGGGGCAUUAGUAUUUAAUUGUCAGAGGUGGAAUUCUCAGAUUUGUUAAAGACUAACUUAUGCGAAAGCAUUCGCCAAGGAUGUUUUCAUUAAUCAAGAACGAAAGUUAGGGGAUCAAAGACGAUCAGAUACCGUCCUAGUCUUAACCAUAAACUAUGCCGACUCGGGAUCGGGGGCGAGCACUAUCCGCCUUCGGCACCGUAUGAGAAAUCAAAGUCUUUGGGUUCUGGGGGGAGUAUGGU
rnacentral:rRNA from 1 species